rnacentral:rRNA from 1 species
ACGGAAGGCAGCGGUAGGGAAUAUUGCACAAUGGGGGAAACCCUGAUGCAGCAACGCCACGUGUGGGAAGAAGCAUUUCGGUGUGUAAACCACUGUCGUGAGGGAAUAAUGCUUGGUCUCGGCCAAGUUGAAUGUACCCCGAAAGGAAGCACCGGCAAACUUCGUGCCAGCAGCCGCGGUAGUACGAGGGGUGCAAGCGUUGUUCGGAAUCACUGGGCGUAAAGGGAGCGCAGGCGGAGAUGCAAGCAGUCUGUACAAUACCGGGGCCCAACCCCGGACCUGCAGACUGGACUGUUUCGCUUGGAUAGUUCAGGGGCAAGCGGAAUUCCUGGUGUAGCGGUGGAAUGCGUAGAGAUCAGGAAGAACACCGAUGGCGAAGGCAGCUUGCUGGGGACUUAUCGACGCUCAGGCUCGAAAGUGCGGGUAGCAAACAGGAUUAGAUACCCUGGUA